CUCCUGGGACAAACCGGGCGCGUGACUGGACCCCGGCCUGCAGAGGCCAGACCAACCGCAAGGGGGCAGGGCGGGAGAGAGGGCCGGGCCAACCAACCACGAGACAGGGAGAGGGAGACUGCUCGAGCUCUGCCCGCUCAACUGUCUGCCGGCCCGGCCGGGAGAACUGACGGACCGACGGAGAAAGAAAGGCUUGGGCCAGGGGAGCCCGGGACCGCACCAUCCGUACUGCGGCCGGGGGGGGGGGGAACCGGCCGAACCAUCAGCCCGACGGGACGGGAGGGAGCACCCUCGGGGCGGGAAGACGAGCCCCCGGCGGCGCGUGACAGGGCGAAGCGAGGAGUGAGCUGACACUAAACUGAGCUAACCAGGCCCAUUCCUGCACAGUUGAUCUUGAGGUAAGCCUUCAUCCUUCCUACCCAUAUAAUAAUAAUUACCACUCACUUGUGUCGCUUCACAGUUUGCAAGAAACCUUCUUUCUUAACAACCCUGAGAAGUAAGUAGUUUAAGUGUUAUUAUCCCCAUUUUACAGAUAAGGAAGCUGAGGCCCAGAAAGGCAAAGCGAUUUGCCCGAGAUCACACAGUAGUAACAUCUCCAGGAUUUAUAUCCAGAUUUCUUGACUCCAAGUCCAGCUUUCUAUCCACUGCACCAUUCUGUUCACCCUUCUCCUUUGGCUUCUUACUCUCUAGGUAGACAGAGUAUCUGGACAGAGGUGCCAGGCUGCCCUGUGGACUCUUGGGACCUUUAGGGAGUCCAAGGAUAAUCCUCUUCUUUUUAGUUUAGCAGCCACUGUAAGCAACCUUAUUCUCCCUCUUCCUGACCCAGGGACACUGCUCUCUGACCUUUUAUCCUGAAAGGGUGGUAUGAAUAAUUCUCCUAUCAUCUCCAAG
rnacentral:lncRNA from 1 species